GUCAAGGAUACCCUCGGGAAACUGAGGGCUAAACCUAGAUAAGAGAUAUGCCCUGGAAUGACUUAUCUCUCAAACUCGUGCUUAAGGAUUGGGCUGCGGCGGAUUAGGUAGUUGGCGGGGUAAUAGCCCACCAAGCCAAAGAUCCGUAAGGGCUCUUAGCGGAGAGGCCCUGAGAGGGAGUCUGAGACACUACUCCCACCCCUACGGGGGGCAGCAGUUAGGAAUAUUCUGCAAUGCGCGAAAGCGUGACAGAGCGAAUCAAAGUGUUUUUCAUUUGAAAAGCUUUUGCCAAAUUUAGAAAGUUUGGCGAAUAAGGACUGGGUGAGACUGGUGCCAGCCGCCGCGGUAAUCCCAGCGGUCCAAGUCGCAGCCAACAUUAUUGGGUCUAAAACAUCCGUAGCUUGUUAUGUAAGUUUCUUGUGAAAUCUGGCUUCUUAAAGGUCAGGCGUGCAAGAAGUACUGCAUAGCUAGAGACUGGAAGACGUAGGAAGUACGUUUGAAGUAGUGGUAAAAUAUUUUAAUCUCAGACGGACUCACAACAGCGAAGGCAUCCUACGAGGACAGUUCUGACAGUAAGGGAUGAAGGCUAGGGGCGCAAAACGGAUUAGAUACCCGUGUAGUCCUAGCAGUAAACACUGCACACUAAACAUUAGUACCUCCUCGAGAGGUAUUGGUGCUGAAGCGAAGGCGAAGAGUGUGCUACCUGGGAAGUAUAGUCGCAAGGCCGAAACUUAA
rnacentral:rRNA from 1 species